UCUUAUAAAUUUACAGGUGACCUGUCGUAUAGAAACAACAAACCAAAAAAAGAAACAAAUAAAUAAAAAAGAAACAGCCAAAGCAAAGAGGAAUUACAUUUGAAGAAAGAGGAAUGGAACACUCAACCAGUGAGAUUACCCCAACUAAUGACCAACUUUCACUACAUUCUCAACUGAAAAAGAUGAGGUCUCUCUCAACUAUAUAAAUUUGUUUUUGAUUUCAUUAGUUCACUUUUCUUUAAUUUUGACAAUUAAAUAUAUAAUUUAAUUUGGUGUACCCUAUGAUUUUCUAUGUGGAUGAAUUUCAAGAGAUUGUAAAAUUUCUUAGGCUACUUCUCCUUUCAUA